rnacentral:sRNA from 1 species
UCUACUCAUUGGGAAUUUUUCUGAUAACAUUACAU